ACAGAGGUCUCAAGCGUUGUUCGGAAUCACUGGGCGUAAAGGGUGCGUAGGUGGCGUGGUAAGUCAGAUGUGAAAGCCCGGGGCUCAACCUCGGAAUUGCAUCCGAUACUGCCAUGCUGGAGUACUGAAGAGGUGACUAGAAUUCUCGGUGUAGCAGUGAAAUGCGUAGAUAUCGAGAGGAAUACCAACGGCGAAGGCAGGUCACUGGGCAGUUACUGACACUGAGGCACGAAGGCCAGGGGAGCAAACGGGA
rnacentral:rRNA from 1 species